rnacentral:rRNA from 1 species
CUCAGAGCAGGCGAGACUACCCGCUGAAUUUAACAUAUCAUAUACCCGGGAGGAGAAAAUUGGUGU